GGAAGUAAAAGUCAUAACAAGGUUUCCGUAGGUGAACCUGCGGAAGGAUCAUUAUUGUAUAACCGAGGUGCGAGGGCUGUCGCUGACCCGAAAGGUCGUGCACGCCCGAGUGCCCUCACACACAUCCAUCUCACCCCUAUGUGCACCACCGCGUGGGUCCCCCUUUGGCUUGUUCGGAGGGGGGCUUACGUUUUCACACAAACUUUGUAUGCAGUGUAAAAUGUAUUUUUUGUUUUUGCGAUCACGCAAUCAAUACAACUUUCAACAACGGAUCUCUUGGCUCUC
rnacentral:misc_RNA from 1 species